rnacentral:rRNA from 1 species
AGGACGAACGCUGGCGGCGUGCUUAACACAUGCAAGUCGAGCGACAGUGUUCUUCGGAACAUAUGGAGCGGCGAACGGGUGAGUAACACGUGGGCAACCUGCCCCUAGCUCUGGGAUAACUCCGGGAAACCGGGGCUAAUACCGGAUACGAUCUUCCAUGGCAUCUCGGAAGAUGGAAAGUUUUUUCGGCUAGGGAUGGGCCCGCGGCCUAUCAGCUUGUUGGUGAGGUAACGGCCCACCGAAGGCGACGACGGGUAGCCGGCCUGAGAGGGCGACCGGCCACGACGUGGGACUGAGACACGGCCCAGACUCCUACGGGAGGCAGCGAGUGGGGAAUAUGCGCAAGUGGGACGAAAGCCUGACGCAGCGACGCGCGUGAGGGAUGAAGGCCUUCGGUAGUAACCUCUUUCGAGCCGAGGACGAAGCGAGAGUGACGGACUGCAAGAGAAGCACCGGUCCAACUACGUCGACC